rnacentral:snRNA from 1 species
AUACUCCCGAUGGAGAUGCUCU